rfam:Candidatus Yanofskybacteria bacterium RIFCSPHIGHO2_01_FTLL_48_25b rifcsphigho2_01_scaffold_10467, whole genome shotgun sequence.
GCCAGAGUAGCUCAAUGGCAGAGCAGCACUUUUGUAAAGUGACGGUUCCGAGUUCAAGUCUCGGCUCUGGCU